GUAGCAACAGUAUGCAGUAGUCGCUCUGGAUAAGAGCGUCUGCUAAAUGACGUAAA
rfam:Salmo salar isolate Sally breed double haploid chromosome ssa16, whole genome shotgun sequence.